rnacentral:rRNA from 1 species
UUAAAUUGAAGAGUUUGAUCAUGGCUCAGAUUGAACGCUGGCGGCAGGCCUAACACAUGCAAGUCGAACGGUAACAGGAAGCAGCUUGCUGCUUUGCUGACGAGUGGCGGACGGGUGAGUAAUGUCUGGGAAACUGCCUGAUGGAGGGGGAUAACUACUGGAAACGGUGGCUAAUACCGCAUAAUGUCGCAAGACCAAAGAGGGGGACCUUCGGGCCUCUUGCCAUCAGAUGUGCCCAGAUGGGAUUAGCUUGUUGGUGAGGUAACGGCUCACCAAGGCGACGAUCCCUAGCUGGUCUGAGAGGAUGACCAGCCACACUGGAACUGAGACACGGUCCAGACUCCUACGGGAGGCAGCAGUGGGGAAUAUUGCACAAUGGGCGCAAGCCUGAUGCAGCCAUGCCGCGUGUAUGAAGAAGGCCUUCGGGUUGUAAAGUACUUUCAGCGGGGAGGAAGGUGUUGUGGUUAAUAACCACAGCAAUUGACGUUACCCGCAGAAGAAGCACCGGCUAACUCCGUGCCAGCAGCCGCGGUAAUACGGAGGGUGCAAGCGUUAAUCGGAAUUACUGGGCGUAAAGCGCACGCAGGCGGUCUGUCAAGUCGGAUGUGAAAUCCCCGGGCUCAACCUGGGAACUGCAUUCGAAACUGGCAGGCUUGAGUCUUGUAGAGGGGGGUAGAAUUCCAGGUGUAGCGGUGAAAUGCGUAGAGAUCUGGAGGAAUACCGGUGGCGAAGGCGGCCCCCUGGACAAAGACUGACGCUCAGGUGCGAAAGCGUGGGGAGCAAACAGGAUUAGAUACCCUGGUAGUCCACGCCGUAAACGAUGUCUACUUGGAGGUUGUGCCCUUGAGGCGUGGCUUCCGGAGCUAACGCGUUAAGUAGACCGCCUGGGGAGUACGGCCGCAAGGUUAAAACUCAAAUGAAUUGACGGGGGCCCGCACAAGCGGUGGAGCAUGUGGUUUAAUUCGAUGCAACGCGAAGAACCUUACCUGGUCUUGACAUCCACGGAAGAAUUCAGAGAUGGAUUUGUGCCUUCGGGAACCGUGAGACAGGUGCUGCAUGGCUGUCGUCAGCUCGUGUUGUGAAAUGUUGGGUUAAGUCCCGCAACGAGCGCAACCCUUAUCCUUUGUUGCCAGCGGUCCGGCCGGGAACUCAAAGGAGACUGCCAGUGAUAAACUGGAGGAAGGUGGGGAUGACGUCAAGUCAUCAUGGCCCUUACGACCAGGGCUACACACGUGCUACAAUGGCGCAUACAAAGAGAAGCGACCUCGCGAGAGCAAGCGGACCUCAUAAAGUGCGUCGUAGUCCGGAUUGGAGUCUGCAACUCGACUCCAUGAAGUCGGAAUCGCUAGUAAUCGUGGAUCAGAAUGCCACGGUGAAUACGUUCCCGGGCCUUGUACACACCGCCCGUCACACCAUGGGAGUGGGUUGCAAAAGAAGUAGGUAGCUUAACCUUCGGGAGGGCGCUUACCACUUUGUGAUUCAUGACUGGGGUGAAGUCGUAACAAGGUAACCGUAGGGGAACCUGCGGUUGGAUCACCUCCUUACCUUAAAGAAGC